rnacentral:rRNA from 1 species
UACGGAGGGUGCGAGCGUUGUCCGGAAUCACUGGGCGUAAAGGGCGCGUAGGUGGCCUGCUAAGCGUGCGGUGAAAGUCGGGGGCUCAACCCCCGAUCGGCCGUGCGAACUGGGAGGCUUGAGCACUGUAGAGGCAGGUGGAAUUCCGGGUGUAGCGGUGGAAUGCGUAGAGAUCCGGAAGAACACCGGUGGCGAAGGCGGCCUGCUGGGCAGUAGCUGACACUGAGGCACGAAGGCCAGGGGAGCAAACGGG